AGAGUUUGAUCCUGGCUCAGGACGAACGCUGGCGGCGUGCUUAACACAUGCAAGUCGAACGGUGAUGUCAGAGCUUGCUCUGGCGGAUCAGUGGCGAACGGGUGAGUAACACGUGAGUAACCUGCCCCCGACUCUGGGAUAACUGCUAGAAAUGGUAGCUAAUACCGGAUAUGACGAUUGGCCGCAUGGUCUGGUCGUGGAAAGAAUUUCGGUUGGGGAUGGACUCGCGGCCUAUCAGGUUGUUGGUGAGGUAAUGGCUCACCAAGCCUACGACCGGUAGCCGGCCUGAGAGGUGACCGGCCACACUGGGACUGAGACACGGCCCAGACUCUACGGGAGGCAGCAGUGGGGAAUAUUGCACAAUGGCGAAAGCCUGAUGCAGCAACGCCGCGUGAGGGAUGACGGCUUCGGGUUGUAAACCUCUUUUAGUAGGGAAGAAGCGAAAGUGACGGUACCUGCAGAAAAAGCACCGGCUAACUACGUGCCAGCAGCCGCGGUAAUACGUAGGGUGCAAGCGUUGUCCGGAAUUAUUGGCCGUAAAGAGCUCGUAGGCGGUUUGUCGCGUCUGCUGUGAAAUCCCGAGGCUCAACCUCGGGUCUGCAGUGGGUACGGGCAGACUAGAGUGCGGUAGGGGAGAUUGGAAUUCCUGGUGUAGCGGUGGAAUGCGCAGAUAUCAGGAGGAACACCGAUGGCGAAGGCAGAUCUCUGGCCGUAACUGACGCUGAGGAGCGAAAGCAUGGGGAGCGAACAGGAUUAGAUACCCUGGUAGUCCAUGCCGUAAACGUUGGGAACUAGAUGUGGGACCAUUCCACGGUCUCCGUGUCGCACUAACGCAUUAAGUUCCCCGCCUGGGGAGUACGGCCGCAAGGCUAAAACUCAAAGGAAUUGACGGGGGCCCGCACAAGCGGCGGAGCAUGCGGAUUAAUUCGAUGCAACGCGAAGAACCUUACCAAGGCUUGACAUAUACCGGAAACAUGCAGAAAUGUGUGCCCCGCAAGGUCGGUAUACAGGUGGUGCAUGGUUGUCGUCAGCUCGUGUCGUGAGAUGUUGGGUUAAGUCCCGCAACGAGCGCAACCCUCGUUCUAUGUUGCCAGCACGUAAUGGUGGGAACUCAUAGGAGACUGCCGGGGUCAACUCGGAGGAAGGUGGGGAUGACGUCAAAUCAUCAUGCCCCUUAUGUCUUGGGCUUCACGCAUGCUACAAUGGCCGGUACAAAGGGCUGCGAUACCGUAAGGUGGAGCGAAUCCCAAAAAGCCUGUCUCAGUUCGGAUUGAGGUCUGCAACUCGACCUCAUGAAGUCGGAGUCGCUAGUAAUCGCAGAUCAGCAACGCUGCGGUGAAUACGUUCCCGGGCCUUGUACACACCGCCCGUCAAGUCAUGAAAGUCGGUAACACCCGAAGCCAGUGGCCUAACCGCAAGGGAGGAGCUGUCGAAGGUGGGAUCGGUGAUUAGGACUAAGUCGUAACAAGGUAACC
rnacentral:rRNA from 1 species